UGAGGACCAGGGCUGGGCUUUACCUGCCUCUGAAGGGGCUUGGAGCAGAGGCAGGGGAGGUGGAAGAAUAGGAACCUGGGGCAGUGUCCUUCCCAGGCAGGAGGACACAGAAGAGCAGGCCCCUGCCAACAUCAAGUUGAAACAGCUGUAAAAGUGGCCUGGGCACAAAGCUGGCAACUGAAGAUAAGGCUCAGGACACAGCGAGCGGUCACCCUGAGGCUCUCCUGGGAGCAGGGAGUGGCUGUCUCCGGCCAUGGUCCACAAAGGCACCAACCACUCCCCUUUGCAGGUGUGAAGCAGCAGCUGGGGACAGUUCAGCCCGGCUUAGGCAUGACCUCUGUUUUCAUCUGCCUGCGAGGCACCAAGGAGGACCUGCAUCUGCCGUCCACCAACUACUAUGUUUACUAUGACACGGACAUGGACCAGGCCCUACGAGUGGUUUGAGGAGUGGCAGGUGGAACUGAAGGGAAAGUAGGGCAGUGACUAUGAGACCUUCAAAAACUUCUUUGUGGAAGCCUCUAUGUCAGUGGUCCUGAAACUGUUCCCACAGCUGGAGGGGAAGGUGUGGAGAGUGUGACUGCAGGAUCCCCACU
rnacentral:lncRNA from 1 species